rnacentral:rRNA from 1 species
GAGUUUGAUCGUGGCUCAGAUUGAACGCUGGCGGCAUGCCUUACACAUGCAAGUCGAACGGCAGCAUGAUCUAGCUUGCUAGAUUGAUGGCGAGUGGCGAACGGGUGAGUAAUACAUCGGAACGUGCCCUGUAGUGGGGAGUAACUAGUCGAAGAUUAGCUAAUACCGCAUACGACCUGAGGGUGGAAAGUAGGGGGACCGGCAAGGCCUCAUGCUAUAGGAGCGGCCGAUGUCUGAUUAGCUAGUUGGUGGGGU